rnacentral:rRNA from 1 species
CGUGCAGGCGGUUUCGUAAGUCGGAUGUGAAAGCUCCUGGCUUAACUGGGAGAGGUCGUUCGAUACUGCGGGACUUGAGGUCGGGAGAGGGACGUGGAAUUCCCGGUGUAGUGGUGGAAUGCGUAGAGAUCGGGAGGAACACCAGUGGCGAAGGCGGCGUCCUGGCCCGCACCUGACGCUAAGACGCGAAAGCGUGGGUAGCGAACG